AAUAAUCAAUGUUGAAUACUCCUGAUAAUCAACUAUUAAAUUUACCUAUUAAUCCUUCCUGAUGUAAACACUUAAAAACCUUCCUUUUUAAGAACCUAUUUAAUGUGAUUGAUAACAUUAACACAGAUUCCUAAAUGUUAUUAUAAUUCGGAUAAGUCCAUGUUUUCAAAUGUGAUGGAGACUCUGUACGAUUUAUAGUUCACCAUUUGUUCUCAAUAAAAAAAAACAACAUCGCUAGUUCGUUCACUGUAUCCAGCGUUUAGUAUUUUCGUCAGCGUUCCGAAGCACCGUGUAUUGUAAAACUUGUUUUCACUUAUAUUACAAAUAACCUUUAGACAUGACGCACGCGUUUUUAGUUGUGGUUACAAUCGCUAUCAGUUUAAAGUUGCUGUUUUUGAUAUUUUCACUGUUCGUUACACUCACAACCAGCUCGGAUACGCAGACGCCUGGCGAUUUGCAGACGAAGCAACGGAAAACGAACGUGAUGUCCAUUUGGAAGCAAACAUUCUCAAGAUUCUUUAGCAAACCGCAGUGUAUGGACGCGAACAGCAAAGCAUUCAGUAUGAAACUUUGAAAACAUAUCUUUUAUGUUAUUUGAUGAUGAUUUAAAAAAAUUCUUAAACGUAACUAGAAAAUUGAUGUUUUAAUGGAACCAUUAAUUGGUGAUAUUGAUGUGAAAUUUUACUCUUCUCGAUACCCGCAUUUAAUAGCCUCAGGGGUGUAAAAUACAGAGUGAUGGAAGCAAACUUAGUAUUACGGUUGUGCAAUAUUAUGUUACUUUAUUACUUGGAAAAGAAUUUUAAAUAUUUUUUAUACUAGAUUAGUAUAUUUAAAAAUACAUUAAACAUUAUAUAAGAAAAGUAUUUUACAUUUUUAUCGAAGUCAAUUUAACUAUGUAUUUGUAUUAUAAAAAGUAAUGAAAUUUC